rnacentral:misc_RNA from 1 species
CACACCACAAAAAACCAACCCAACCGCCGCCGCAUCGCCCUCGUUAGAACGAUGGCCGCGUCGGCGCUGCACCAGACCACCAGCUUCCUCGGCACCGCCCCUCGCCGGGAUGAGCUCGUCCGCCGCGUCGGCGACUCCGGUGGCCGCAUCACCAUGCGCCGCACCGUCAAGAGCGCGCCCCAGAGCAUCUGGUAUGGACCUGACCGUCCCAAGUACCUGGGCCCGUUCUCGGAGCAGACGCCAUCGUACCUGACCGGAGAGUUCCCGGGAGACUACGGGUGGGACACGGCGGGGCUAUCGGCCGACCCGGAGACGUUCGCGAGGAACAGGGAGCUGGAGGUGAUCCACUCGCGGUGGGCGAUGCUGGGGGCGCUGGGCUGCGUCUUCCCGGAGAUCCUGUCCAAGAACGGGGUGAAGUUCGGGGAGGCGGUGUGGUUCAAGGCCGGCGCGCAGAUCUUCUCCGAGGGGGGGCUCGACUACCUGGGGAACCCCAACCUGGUGCACGCGCAGAGCAUCCUCGCCAUCUGGGCGGUCCAGGUGGUGCUCAUGGGAUUCGUCGAGGGCUACCGCGUCGGCGGCGGCCCGCUCGGCGAGGGCCUCGACAAGGUGUACCCAGGCGGCGCCUUCGACCCGCUCGGCCUCGCCGACGACCCUGACACCUUCGCCGAGCUCAAGGUGAAGGAGCUCAAGAACGGCCGCCUCGCCAUGUUCUCCAUGUUCGGCUUCUUCGUCCAGGCCAUCGUCACCGGCAAGGGCCCCAUCGAGAACCUCUUCGACCACGUCGCCGACCCCGUCGCCAACAACGCCUGGGCAUACGCCACCAACUUCGUCCCCGGCAAGUGAGCACAACGACACGAUCGAGAUGGUGCCAACCAACGUACCAUGUGUACACUUGUAGUAGCCACGCACCGACCCUGCAGUUGCAGUUGCAGCAGUGCAUGUAUGUAUGUACCUUAAUUGUGUGUGUGUGUGUGAUCGAUCGAGGAGAUUUCUAGCUUAAUUAAUUUCUGUCUGUCAUCAUCUUUGCUUCUUUGGAUCGAGAUUUAAUGUAAGCCGCAGGCCGCAUCCAAG